rnacentral:lncRNA from 1 species
UUACAUUCAAAUCCAUGCAUAACCAGUUUGUCAUAGAAAAUGCAGCCUGCUCCAAAUCCUUCAAUAUCCAAUAGCAUAUCUAGCCUGCUCCAAAGGCUAGUCCUCUCCAUCUCAAAUGUAGCCUACAACACAACCAUAAAACCCAUAAAACACUCAUUAGCACACACGCACAAUCAGUCAACUCCCCUGUCGCCUGCAAACCAAUGAACCAUGAGGCAGAUGACCAUCAGAAAACUUGCUACAGAAAGUUGUUUCCAUUUCCCAUGUCCAUAGAAAUUGACACGAACAGAGUAUUCCUAUGCACAAAUUCCAGUGCUCCAGAAGAAUUGAACUUGGCAAGCAAUUAUCAUGGGGGGGCUUACAGGUCACUACAACCUGACUGCCCGAGUUUCUACUCGAGUAGAAAAGAACUAACAGAACAACACAACCAUACUCAUUUUGCUAUAUACAAGUCCACUGCAGGACUUUGUACUGGAUUAGAAAAAAACUAACAGAUCCAUCUGACCAUUCCCUUUGAGAAAAUAUGAGAAAAGGGAGCUAGCAGGUGCAAAAUUAGAAACAUGAUCAUGUAGUAUUUUUUCUAACCAAAUAACAAUAAAGAGUAAAUCAGCCGCUAGCAGGUGAUUUGCUAACAUAAGAUAUGCACAUGAAAGAGACCUAGCAAGGCAAUUCUAAGAGGAGGGUAACCAUGUUCGGGUCCCUGGGGGCAGGAAACCCUUGCAAGUCACCCUCUGCACCCGCUAGCAGACCUAGUAGAAGCAGGGGCUGGAGGCGUGGGAUUGGGGGACGGCGUCGCCCUCGGCCUUCUCCCCGCCGAAGGGCGCUCCGAUAGCAUUGACGAAUCAGGGGUUAAAGACAUGUCUGAUCCCUAAGAUAAAUGACCAAGCAGGGAUUAAUCAAAACAAACCAACAAUUGCACUAUCUAAUAAAUUUAGGGAGACACAAUCCAACAACACUAUCCAAUAAAUUUGAAGAGAUAUUCUAGAAAAAAAGAAAUAAUAACCCAAGAACAUGAACCCACACCACAAUGGGCGACAGAUAAGAAUCACAAACCUAUGGCACCGUGGACUAGUUUUUCCCUGUUGCUGUGAUCGGCGUGGUGGAGAAGAUCUCCCUCUGUGCGCUCUUGGUCCAGUGCACCAAAUACAAAACAAUACAGUAUGCAGCUAGAUGCUCAAAGCAGCGAACAAUUUGAUAGUGAAAGCAAUGCAUCAAAUAACUCAACCCAUGAGCAUCUGGCCAAAUAAGCAUUAUCCAGUAGAACUCAGACAUCAAGUUCAGAAAGGCCUAUAGAACAGGAUUAAGAAUGCAUUCCACAGCUCGAAAAACCACUCAUAAUACACCUUAGGGAAGAAGGACCGUACAAAAUCAUAGCAAGGUCUUUAUAACAAAAGACCAACGAUAACCAGGUAGCAGUACACAUAAGUGUGCAAUGCCCCAUUGAUCCUCACGGCAAACAAACACAGAAAGCUUACUGGCUAGACCCGUUAACAAUAAAAUAAAAUCUGAAAUCCUCCUCUGAAAUCCUCAUGAAGAACCAAUAGCAUUGCCGAACUAUCUCUUAUCCCAGAAUAACAAAGUGCAACUUACUCUUAACCAGAUUAAAUCAAGGACCAAUAACACACAAUAAAAGAUCAAGA